GAAGGGGUUGUUUUUUAGCCAGCCUCUCCUUGGGAUGCAGUAUGAACACUUGCUCACAGGAGCUGCCUAAUGCUGGCAUUCUCAGGCUGGACAGCAGAAGACAUCAUGGGAGGCUGAGCCAGGCCUCCCUCAGUGUGCUUGCUCCCUUCUCAGCUGCUUCCAGGUGCUCUCUCCGGACCUCCCAAAGUCCAGGGAAAAUAUGAACAAUUCUACGCACUGGCUGAAACAGACACAUACCAAGGCAGCUUUGCCCAAAGAAUAGACACUGCAACUGGCUGAGUGAUGAGUGCAACAGAACUAGCUAUCUUCCAACCAACCAAAGGCCAGAACACACGGGCAGGCGGUCCUGCAGAUCUGCCACUUCCUCAGAGAACCUUUGCAAUGGCCAAGAUGUUCUGGCUCAGCAAGGACUCAGAACAACCAGGAGGUUUGGAGAGCCACUCCACGGAUCAGAGUACAAAUGUGGGGCAGAGGAAUACUGACCAGCGGGUACAGAUGGAGAUGAAGGACUGACCCCGAGAAGUCAAUAAUUACUAGUUUUGUUUACUGUUACCCAUCUCACCAGUCACCUGGGGCAGCAGUUUUUAUUAAAACUGCUAUAUUAAUAAAAUCAGAAAUGCCUGUCGGGAGA
rnacentral:lncRNA from 1 species